rnacentral:rRNA from 1 species
UGUUGCUUGCAAGGGCGUAUGGUGGAUGCCUUGGCAGACAGGACCGAUGAAGGACGUUUGAGGCUGCGAUAUGCCUCGGGGAGCCGCCAACAGGGCUUUGAUCCGAGGAUUUCCGAAUGGGGGAACCCACCGACCGUCAUGGGUCGGUACCGGCUUCGGCCGGGGGGUACGCAGGGAAGUGAAACAUCUCAGUACCUGCAGGAAAGGAUAUUCCGUGAGUAGUGGCGAGCGAAAGCGGAUGAUGGCCAAACCUUGCGCGUGUGAUACCCGUCGGGGGUUGCGCGCGGGGUGUUGCGGGAUCGCGUGCGCCGGCUCCGACGGGCCGGCCGGCAGUUGCAGAAAACCAUGUGUCAGGGGAACCGGGUUGAAUACCGGGCCGCAGAGGGUGAGGGCCCCGUACCUGAACGCGCAUGGUCUGCCGAUCGCGUCUCCCAAGUAGCACGGGUCCCGUGGAACCCCGUGCGAAUCCGCCCAGACCGUUGGGUAAGCCUGAAUAUUCCUGUCUGACCGAUAGCGAACGAGUACCGUGAGGGAAAGGUGAAAAGUACCCCGGGAGGGGAGUGAAACAGUCUCUGAAACCGUGCGCCUACAAUCCGUCGGAGCCCUUUUGUGGGGUGACGGCGUGCCUAUCGAAAAAUGAGUCUGCGAGUCAGUGGCAUGUGGCGAGCAUAACCCGUGUGGGGUAUGCGUAGCGAAGGCGAGUCUUAAAAGGCGUUUGAGUCGCGUGUCCUGGACCCGAAGCGGGAUGAUCUAGCCCUGAGCAGGUUGAAGCGCGGGUAAGACCGCGUGGAGGACCGAACCCACCUGGGUUGAAAACCGGGGGGAUGACUUGGGGCUAGGGGUGAAAGGCCAAUCAAAUUCCGUGAUAGCUGGUUCUCUCCGAAAUGCAUUUGGGUGCAGCGUCGGGUCAUUACGUCCCGGGGGUAGAGCUACUGGAUGCUUGCGGGCCCGUAUCGGGUACCAACAGCAACCAAACUCCGAAUACCGGUGACGUGUAUCCCGGCAGUGAGUCGGCGGGGGAUAAGCUUCGUCGUCGAAAGGGAAACAGCCCAGACCGUCGUCUAAGGUCCCGAAGCGUGUGCUAAGUGGGAAAGGAUGUGGAGUCGCAUAGACAGCCAGGAGGUUGGCUCAGAAGCAGCCACCCUUGAAAGAGUGCGUAACAGCUCACUGGUCUAGUGGUUCCGCGCCGACAAUGUAGCGGGGCUCAAGCACACCACCGAAGACGCGGCAGUAUUUUGUACUGGGUAGGAGAGCGUCCCAUGAGGGGCGAAGCGGCCGUGUGAACGCGCCGUGGACUUCAUGGGAGUGAGAAUGCAGACAUGAGUAGCGAGAGACGGGUGAAGAUCCCGUCCGCUGGAUGACCAAGGGUUCCAGGGCCACGUUCAUCGUCCCUGGGUGAGUCGGGUCCUAAGGCGAGGCCGACAGGCGUAGUCGAAUGGAUGAACGGGUCGAUAUUCCCGUACCGGCUUUCAGCCGCCAAAACCGAGGCUUGGAGUACUAACCUCCGGGUCCGGGCUUACUGCUCCUUCGGGGGCGGGAUGCCCUGGCCUGUUGGGACCGAUCCUUGUAGUAGGUCAGCGCAGGAGUGACGCAGAAGGGUAGCCGGCCGCGGAGGUGGUCUUCCGUGGUCAAGCACGCAGGGCGUGGGACAGGCAAAUCCGUCCCGCAUGGGUCCGAGGUGCGAUGAUGGGGGCCUUAUGGCCCGAUAUCCGGUGAUCCCGGCUGCCGAGAAAAGCUUCGGCGUCAGGCUCGAAGCCGCCCGUACCCCAAACCGACACUGGUGGUCAGGUAGAGAAUACCAAAGCGAUCGAGCGAAUCCUGGUCAAGGAACUCGGCAAAUCACUCCCGUUCCUUCGGUUUAAGGGAGACCCCCGAUGGUGAACCGCCUCGCGCGGGGAGCUUUUGGGGGUGGCACAGACCAGGGGGUAGCGACUGUUUACCAAAAACACAGGUGCAUGCGAAGGCGCAAGCCGCUGUAUAUGCACUGACGCCUGCCCGGUGCCGGAAGGUUAAGAGGAUCCGUCAGCCUUCGGGUGAAGCGGUGAAUUCAAGCCCCGGUAAACGGCGGUGGUAACUAUAACCAUCCUAAGGUAGCGAAAUUCCUUGUCGGGUAA